GUGUAAUCACCGAUAUGGAAGGCUCCAGGUGCCCUAUCAUCGUACAUCUGACCUGGUGUUCUUGAAGCCUGAGUUGGGGCAGAUUUGAGACUCAGCUUGAUUGUUGCCUUGUGCCGUGGUGACCAUGGAGCAGAGCACACAUCCUGUUGUCACCAAACCCGCAGCCUAGAGCUUGGGGCCAGCCUCACCCAGCCAAGUGGCAGCCUCGCUCAGAACUGAGUAGGCGCUCCUUCAACCCCGGCGGAUCGUGGAGUGACACCAGCACAGAUCAGAGAAUUAGCUCAAAGGGAAGGAUGCCCUCUGAGAGUAGGCCUGAGGCUCCCAACA